rnacentral:rRNA from 1 species
AUACUUGACCUCAAAUCAGGUAGGACUACCCGCUGAACUUAAGCAUAUCAAUAAGCGGAGGAAAAGAAACUAACAAGGAUUCCCCUAGUAACUGCGAGUGAAGCGGGAAAAGCUCAAAUUUAAAAUCUGGCAGUCUCUGGCUGUCCGAGUUGUAAUCUAGAGAAGUAAUGCCCGUGCUGGACCGUGUAUAAGUCUCCUGGGAUGGGGCGUCAUAGAGGGUGAGAAUCCCGUCUUUGACACGGACUACCAGUGCAUUGUGGUAUGCUCUCAAAGAGUCGAGUUGUUUGGGAAUGCAGCUCAAAAUGGGUGGUAAAUUCCAUCUAAAGCUAAAUAUUGGCGAGAGACCGAUAGCGAACAAGUACCGUGAGGGAAAGAUGAAAAGAACUUUGGAAAGAGAGUUAAACAGUACGUGAAAUUGCUGAAAGGGAAACGCUUGAAGUCAGUCGCGUUGGCCGGGAAUCAGCCUUGCUUUUGCAUGGUGUACUUUCUGGUUGACGGGUCAGCAUCAAUUUUGACCGCUGGAAAAAGACCUGNGGAAUGUGGCAGCUUUGGCUGUGUUAUAGCCCCUAGUCGCAUACAGUGGUUGGGAUUGAGGAACUCAGCACGCCGCAAGGCCGGGUUUCGACCACGUUCGUGCUUAGGAUGCUGGCAUAAUGGC